GCUUAAAUUUUUCUUUAGGACGAGAAGACCCUAUAGAGCUUAAGAUUUUAUUUUUAUAUAGUUUUUUGUUUGUCUUUCUAUAUUUAAUGAUGAUGUUUUGUUGGGGUGACAUGAAGAAUAAAUAAGCUCUUCAUUAUAAAAUCAUUUAUUUAUGUUUGUUGUUUUGAUCCAUAAUUUAUGAUCAUAAGAUUAAGUUACCUUAGGGAUAACAGCGUAAUUGUUUUUGAGAGCUCAUAUCGACAAAGCAGAUUGCGACCUCGAUGUUGGAUUAAGAAAAAUUUUGGGUGCAGUGGACCAGUAACUAGGUCUGUUCGAACUUUAAAUUCUUACAUGAUCUGAGUUCAGACCGGCGUGAGCCAGGUCGGUUUCUAUCCUAAGAUUAUUAAUUCAUAUUAUUACGAAAGGACCAUAUGGUUGAAAUAUAUUUUAUGUUAUUGAUUAAUACUAAUUAAAUUA